CAAUACAGAUGGCGCACGGCGCACGGGUGCGUAACACGUGGGUAAUCUGCCCUUCGAAGGGGAAUAACUCGCCGAAAGGCGAGCUAAUUCCGCAUAACAUUCCGAGAACCUUGGUUUUUGGAUUCAAAGGCGUAAGUCGUCGGAGGAGGAGCCCGCGCACGAUUAGCUAGUUGGUAGAGUAACGGCCUACCAAGGCUAUGAUCGUUAGCUGGUCUGAGAGGAUGGCCAGCCACACUGGAACUGAGACACGGUCCAGACUCCUACGGGAGGCAGCAGUGGGGAAUCUUGCACAAUGGGCGAAAGCCUGAUGCAGCGACGCCGCGUGGGGGAUGAAGCUUCUCGGAGUGUAAACCCCUUUCGACCCGGACGAAUGCCCCGCAAGGGGACCGACGGUACGGGUAUAAGAAGCCCCGGCUAACUACGUGCCAGCAGCCGCGGUAAGACGUAGGGGGCCAGCGUUGCUCGGAAUUACUGGGUGUAAAGGGUUCGUAGGCGGUGUGGCAAGUCGGGAGUGAAAUCUCUGGGCUCAACCCAGAGUCUGCUUCCGAAACUGCCGUGCUUGAGUGUGGGAGAGGCGCGUGGAAUUGCAGGUGUAGCGGUGAAAUGCGUAGAUAUCUGCAGGAACACCCGUGGCGAAGGCGGCGCGCUGGACCACUACUGACGCUGAGGAACGAAAGCUAGGGGAGCAAACAGGAUUAGAUACCCUGGUAGUCCUAGCCCUAAACGAUCAGGACUUGGGGUGCCACCCGUUCGGGUGUCGUCCCGGAGCUAACGCGUUAAGUCCUGCACCUGGGGAGUACGGUCGCAAGACUG
rnacentral:rRNA from 1 species